AAGCGAUGAUGAGGGUAUUGUUCCUGACUUGGUAUUGCCACUACAUAGUGACUUUGACCAAGGUCUGAUUGGAUAUUUAAUCUUCUCUCUGAGCUG
ensembl:snoRNA